CGGCAGUUGAAUAGCAAUCAAUGGGAAGUACAUCCUUUUCAUACCCACAUAUUAGGCACAAAUCUUGUCCAAAUCAAAUCAUAAUGAAUUUAAAUUCAGUUCCACUUUUCAUUUCCAAAUAUCACCUUCAAUCUACCUGCAAAUCUU